rnacentral:lncRNA from 1 species
GCGUUAUUUAAACUGGAAAGUUAGGCCUACGGUGGCCGAGUGCCAAAGUGUAGCGUGGAGUUCACCGGUAUUAAAUUCUGAAUUUAUCAAUUUAAUUUUUGUUAGUAAUAAUCAUUUUAUGUUUUUUUAUUCAUUUUGUCAUUUAACUUCAAUUUUAUUUUUGAAAACUAUUUUAUAUUUGCUAUGUUUAUCAAAAUUUUGAAUUUUAAAUUUUAAAAUCUCCAAUCAAAUGAAAACAAAACAUCAAGAAAUACCAAUAUGUAUUAUAAAUUAUCUAAUACAAAAUACCAAUUUUUUUUUAAUUUUUAAAACAUAAAUUAUACUUUAAAAUAAGAUCAUGUUUUGCUUGGAUAGAGAACAUUUUUCUCUUUUGAUAAUAUAUAUAUAAAAUAAACUUUGAAAAGUGUUAUUUAUUCUUUUAAAAAAAUAUAUUCAAGGUCUACAUGUUACCCUUGUAAUUGCAAGGAAGAGCUAGAGCUUAAUGACAUUAAUGUAAAACCCAAUAAGAAUCAAAUCAAAGUAUCUUUACCAAUAAGAUAUCUAUGCAGAGUUAGCUUUGUUUUGUAGAAGAAGUACCUUUUUAACUAACCAACUUACAAUGGCUUUAGAACAACUCUCUCAUCACUAUUUUCUCUUACAAGAUGUUUCUCUCCUUUUCUAGACUUGCUUAUGUUUGGUUUAGGUUCACAAAGUUUAGCUUUACUGAAUCUAAUGGACGGGGUGUUGCUUCUAUGAGAAAGUUAAUAUAUGUUUUAUUAUAAGAGAGAAUUACACAUACGAAAUUCAAGCACUAGAAAGAGAAAUUAUCUUUGUGAUUAUAGCAAUACAAUAGCUAAACUCUAUCACCUCACAUACUUCCACCUCAUUUAAUUACACUAUCACACACACACAAUAACCCCAAACCUGUUAAUCAAACCAACACCUCUCAAAACUUUCAAAUCUUUCAAAUAAUUAACAUAAAAUGCUCACAUUAUGUCUCACGCUCCCAAAGAAAAGAAGCAUAAACCUUGGUCAUCUCUUACAAGAUCGUGUAUAUUUUUACCUUAUAGGUGUAUGCGCCUUGUUGUUACUAUGCAUGGAUUGUGUUAUUUGUAUUGUCAGUAAUUGACAUAAGCCAAAGUUUUAUGAGCCAUCUUCACUACUAUAAAAAGAGGUGAUUUUAAAGAUAAAACGUCAAAAAAAUUUAUGAAAAGGGGGAGGUGACCAUUUUUUAGAUUUCUUGACGUUUUUUAAACGUCAAGAAAUUUUACAAAAAAGGUAGAGAGGAGUCAUUUUCCAAAUUUCUUAACCUUUUUAAAAACGUCAAGUAAGAUCAUUUUCCUUGAUGUUUUAAAAACGUCAAGUGUUAUUAAAUAUGUAUAUAAAUAAAAAAUAUUGUGUUAAUUCCUUCAAAAGCCGUAAGAUGAAAACACGUUCUUUCCCUUAAUGCAAACGCAGGAAGAAGCAGAACUUACCGUCUCAGUCGUUGCCCUCUCAAUCGGCAUCUCCAUCUCUCUCGACUGCACUCUCAAUUUCCAUCUCCAUCUCUAUUUUGGUUCCUCUCAAUCGUCAUCUCCAUCUCCACACUCUUAUCGC